GCAGGAAAGAAAUUUGCGGAGAUAUAUUCAGUUUCUUUGUGCAGGUUGAGCCUUUAUUUACUUUCGGCAGCGAGCUUCGCACUUGUUUAAAACUUGGCUUGCACACUGGUAUUGCAAUACAGGGACAAGUUGUUUGCAGAUAACCAAACACAGUCAUUGUUGCGACUUAGUAGAUGCAAUUGAAGUGAAAGUCAAACUGAUUUGAAAUCAUUUUAGUAUGUUCAACAAAUUAUGCCUUACUUAUAUCGCGUGUUGAAGCCAUAUCCAUUCGAAGAUCCUGCGAAUGGACUAGUAGCGGACAACCCCUAUGCAACUUAUACCGUUGUGGAGCACGUAGCCAAAGGACAUCUGAAAACACAGUUUAUUUCGACAUGCAAAACAUAUAUUGCAGCUAUGGAAUUCGCUGAAAAAGGAAAACCGAUGGCAGUGCAGAUGCAAACGACAGGAAAAAGGAAAAUAGUUUCAAUUGAUAUCUUGAAAUUAAUUCAGCUAGCUCCUGAUUGUAUAUUUUAUGAUCUUACGCACCCUGCUAUUCUAAAUCAGUUUAUACCUCCUCUAUUAAACGGAUCAACCGACUUUGCCAGGAAUUGUGCAAACAAAUUUGCUGAAGAACUUAUACAGAUUCCAAUAAUAAAGCAGCUGCCUUCACUGGAUUGUAAAACAAAUGUGUUGGUACCUCAUCCAGACUUACCGGGAAGGAUACCACCAGAAUGUUUGACUGUGAUAGGUUGCGUUUAAGUUUUAAUGCUACUAGGAAAACACAAUGUUGCAUGUAUGAUAAAACACCGGAAAUCUAAGUAUUAAGUGCAUCCGUUGUGUAAAGUUUCAUUUUCUCUCUAACUUUAUGUUACUGGGACUUCAAAUUUAAGUCUCUGUGAUCCAAUAUGUUACAUUUGUUUCACCGUUUUAUAAUCAAAAGUAAUCUGAAUGUUUGUUUGAGGAUAUUUCGAGGAUAAGUCGUAAAAGACCCUUUGUCACGUCCCCUAAUUUGUGGAUAAUAGGUCAUCUGGUUCCAAAGUCUGACGUAGUGCCAAGGAUACCAACUUUAUAUAUACAGCAGUAACAGUUUUAGUUACAAAGCUCUUUUUACAUGGGAAAUCGACAUGAAUAUAUACAAUACUACUCUGAUACGUUAUUAUUCUGUCAUUCUCCCUCUUUGAAGAUCAUAGUAUAACGUUUCAGUCGCACACAAAUCCCGUCGGUGAAAAGCUAGCUCAUCACCAAAGGUGAUUUAUCGUUCUUAUAUACUGUCAUCUUACUCUAAUGACAAUUGACAGGUUUUCAAAUUUACAUAUUAAAGGUCCAUUACUAAGGGAAAGUGAGUUGGCAAUUUUUUUCAUAGCCAGUGCAUAGACUUCUGCAAGACACUAAAUAAUGAAGAUUGGCAGGUCAAAAUUUACAGAAGGUCUUUGGAACUCAAAGAAAUGUAUGUGUAUUAUGUUGAAAUUUCAAUGAAUCGACAGAAUGACCCCCCAGGUCUUUUUAACUUUCUUCAUACUUCAUAGAAAAAUAAUUGUACAUAUACUGCGAUUUAUUUCGAAUUUCUAUAUACCAACUUUCAUUUUCCAAUAAAAUGAAAUAGUUUCUGUGCUUUUUAAAAGAAAUUAAAAUGUUCACUUUCCUUAGUAUUGGACCUUUAAUGGAAUUACUUCCCUUUAUGCAUUCAGUAAUCGUUACAUUACUUUCCCCUCCGAGAAAUCUCGCCCCGAGAUUUGGCCUAGGAAAUGCAUGGGUAAGGCAACUCCAGUCCGGCAGUUGACUUCAUCCCACCGCUGCCACCAUUUAUAACGUUUCAGUCGCACACAAAUCCCGUCGGUGAAAAGCUAGCUCAUCACCAAAGGUGAUUUAUCGUUCUUAUAUACUGUCAUCUUACUCUAAUGACAAUUGACAGGUUUUCAAAUUUACAUAUUAAUGGAAUUACUUCCCUUUAUGCAUUCAGUAAUCGUUACAAUAGAUCGUCGAUAAACUGACUACUUUAUGUCAAAAGUCUGUUAGAACCCAUUAUAUUCAGCAAAAUUGAUUGAAUAUGUGUAUUAUAUAAAAGUGUGAAAUAGUACAUUGUGUAUAUUAUCCUUAUAGUCUUUUAAUGUUUUAGUAUCUAAAUCCAUUUUUUCCUGUUUAGUAUAAUUAGUGUAAUUUUAUUAAUUAUGGCUAGUUAAUUCAUUUUGCAUUUUUUUUUUUUAGUUUUUGUUUUAAUUUGUAUUUUUUUUUUGUAUUUUGUAAUAUAUUCUUUCAAUCACUUUUGAAAAACAAGAGCUGUCCGCAAGACAGCGCGCUCGACUUUUCUCAGUGCUUGACUCUGAAUUAGAGCUUUGCCAGUAAAAACUUUAUAAAACCUAUUUUAAAAAGUGGCAUAACUCUGUCAAAAUUCAAAUCAGAGUAAUGGGGUUUGUUUCCCCUAAUGUAGACUUUGAUAAUAAAUAACUUUUUUAAGUUUGAAGUCAAUAGCUUUGAUAGAAACAAAGAUAUUUGACUUAAUUAAAAACUUUUAUCAAAAAGUUCUAAGUUAGAAAAGGGCAUAAAUCUGUCAAAAUUCAAAUCGGAGUUGAUUCUCCUGGUGUAGACUUUGAUAGUAAAUAACUAUUUUAUAGUUUCAAGUCAAUAGCUUUGAUAGUAACAAAGAUAUUUGAUGUUAUCAAAAAGUUUAACCAAAUAUUCUAAGUUAAAACGGGGCAUAACUCUGUCAAAAUUCAAUUUAAGUUGUGGGAAUUCCUAAUAUAUCACAUUUUCCAGUAUUUUACAAAAUGAUUAGCAGCAGUUGCAGCUACUAUCAAUGCUUUGAGCGCUUCGAUGUAGAGGUGAACCGACCAAUAUUGUUUAUUUUUAAAUAUCGUAAUUAUAACCGACUAACUUACAAAAAUCAAGAUACAUAGUUAACGAAAGUGAAUAUGUGUAUGGCAGUAGUGGGCACUAGUGCCACUUGCCAUGCCAGAUAAUAAGUUAAUAACAGAAUAAGUGACACUUUCACGAAAAAUUUCGAGAUAAAUAAGUGGAUAUGCAGUUGGCAGAAAUAUGCCACCAUAAUAUCUAGGCAAUGAUAUAAUGUUACAGUCACCUAAGUUAUUUUAUAUGUUGAUAUUUUGGAAAGAACAUAUAUGAAGCUUUUUGGCUUAGCGCUAAACUUUGUUUGUUCUUUCACUGCUUAAUAAAGACGAAGAAAAAUAAAUGGUCACGAGUUUCAUUAAAAACAAGAGCUGUCACUAUUUGUGACAGAUGCCCCAAGCAUUUAUGCCAAGAAAUUUUGAUGAUCCUUCAUCGAUGGCAGAGUUAUGAACCGGACAAGAAACAGGUCAUGUUAACCUUUAACCUCUAAAUGUGAGCUUGACCGUAGAUCAUAGGGAACAUUUAUGCCAAGUAAUUUCAAAAUCCCUUGAUAAAUGGCAGAGUUAUGAACCGGACACAAAACAGACCCUGUUAACUUUUGACUCCAAAGUCUGACCUUGACCUUGGAACUCGGGGUCUUGGUCUUACGCAUGGCACAUUGUCUCUUUAUUUUAAACAUUUAUGUCAGUAAUUUCAAAAUCCCUUUAUGGAUGGCAGAGUUAUGGACCGGACACGAAACAGAUCCUGCUAACAUUUGACCUCAUGCUCAUGUCUUGUGUGCAAAUACCAACUUUCCUGCUAUUCAGUGUCUCCAAAAAUUAAAAUAUCUAAGGAAGAUAAGGGAAGAUUCCUGUUUGGUUACAUCAGAAACGUCAAUUAUUGAACAAGUUCAAAGUCUAUCUGUACUUGAUAACUUUCAGUCAGACAACCAUAGGGUUAUCUUAUACUUCGGGCUGUCUUAAAUACCUAUUUGCUAUUAAUCUUUAUAUGGAAUAUUAAAACGGAGAACAUGUUUAAGUACUCCAAGCAAUAUAUUGUAGAUUUCUAAGAGAACUGUUUUAGCGUUUGAAUGCUGCAACUGUUGUCUUGGUCAUCUCUGACAAAGCCUUUCAUUAUUUAUUGAUUGCUUCUUUAGAGCCUUACCGUGUAUUUUAUUCAGCACGUCAGAUACGUCAACUUCUUUAUUGUUGCUUCUGUAUACUUUGUUGAAUUGAGAAAUCUGUCAUACUUGUUGUUACCUAUACUUUGAAACCUUGUCAGGGAAAAAU